UACGGAGAGGGCAAGCGUUGUUCGGAUUUAUUGGGCGUAAAGCGCGCGUAGGCGGUGCAGUAAGUCGGAUGUUAAAGACCCACGGCUCACCCGGGGGAGUGCGUCCGAUACUGCUGUGCUAGAGUACAGGAGAGGAGAGUGGAAUUCCUGGUGUAGCGGUGAAAUGCGUAGAUAUCAGGAGGAACACCGGUGGCGAAGGCGGCUCUCUGGCCUGUAACUGACGCUGAGGCGCGAAAGCGUGGGUAGCGAACGGG
rnacentral:misc_RNA from 1 species